AUGGAAAGUGACUGUGGAGUGGGAAGGAGGAAGUCUGAGGUAGAGGCCAUGCAAGUGACUUCUUUGACAUACAUAGAAUCAAUCCAAUAUAUAGAAGAUCUUUUAUUUCUGGCAUGGCUGCUAUCUUCAAAUGCCAUAUACACGUAUGACCUGGAUAAAAAUACUAACCACAAGCCUGAAGAAAACUGGAACUGUAAGGAGAGAAAACCAAUUCAAGCUAAUUCUAGAGGAGAUUGGAAAGCUGUCAGCAAGAGGAAAACAAUUUGAAGACAGACAAGUAUUUGCUGUCAAGAGUUGUUAUCCUUUAAGAAGGCUACUCUCAGAUUCUUGCAGUUUCUUGACAACUAAAUAAAAUCAGAAAGCCAAAAUACA
rnacentral:lncRNA from 1 species